CCCAGAUCGGCCCCAGGCCCUCGCCCGCGCCCGGCCCCGCAGCAGCACCGGCGGGAGACAGCGCCACCUGCUGCCACCGCCGCGCGCUGCAGCCGCGGCCGGAGCGUGUCGCAGCUUGAACAGACCUCUGACCUCACAUCAUUUGUUCAAGAAUGAUCUCAUUUGAACAAGAAGCACCAGCACUGAUAGCAAGAAGUCCUCAUCCCAUAACUAUGGGCCCUCCUGCUGGCAUCUGGCUCAAGGAGUCUCUGACAAUUACGAAGAAUGAGAACUAGAGCAUUUCUGAACCUGCAGGGAGAAGUGAGUCACUGACCUGGCUGCACAGCAGGAGCCACAAUCCCACACUGUCCAGAACUUCAUUGGCUCAACACCCAACAUCAGCAGCCACAUCCAGACAGAAACUCACUGCCCAGAAGUCUCAGGAUCCAUGCUGUGCAGUCUCCUUCCUUAGACCAGACUUAGGCCAUCAUGAUGGACCCGAGUGAUGCGCAGACUGAGGCCACAUCACCUCCUCAUUUCUGGACGCAAAUGACUCAGAGGUGACCUGCACAGAACAGGCCCCCUGGGCUUUGCUAACUCAGAUGCACAGCAGCCUUCCCCCACCUGGCUCUUCUGCUAUACCUGCAGCAACACAUUGCUUCUAGUGAUACUCUCAUCUUCCUCACAUUCAGGCACAUUCAAACCUGCAGGACUGGAGACAAGCACCAGUGCUUUAUGUGUUCCACGAAAAAAGAAAACCAACAUGCAUGCCAGGAGAGUCAUAUUAACAUGAAAAAAAGUGACUUGGCAGAGGGGAACUUGUCAAGAACUCAGGCAUGCAUCUAGGAAUUUCUUUCCCCCUUGCACCAACUGUAUUUGUCCUUUGGCACUUUGGUACCACUGGCACCUUUAAGCAGUAACAUCUUCCCGGGAAGAGAGACUCAGCUAAAGCAGCUCAGCUUCACACUCAAGGCUGGACUAUCAAAAGACAGCACCUGGAAAUGCUGAGAGACAAGGAUGUCUCAGAAACACCUUUUCAUCAACUCCAGUCCAGCCUCUGGGCAACUGAGUCCUGAGGAUAAUAUGUUCCUGACAGUUGGGAGAGGAACCAAACUUGGAUUGCAGGUGGGGAUUUCUCUUUUCAUGUUACUUGUCCAGUAUGACUUUAUAGCUCCUGGAGAGAAACAUUUUUUUACACGUUCAUCUUACCCUAAAGUGCACAUCAGAAAGAAUCAAAGCAUUAUCUGCAAACUAGGUCUGAGACAGUGAAGAGAAUUUUUAGAAAGGAUACAUCCUUUCUACAGAAAAAAAUUAUUUUUCCAUGUCUGUGUAGUCUUACACCUAUCAAUGAUUCUAUCAAAGAAAAUUUAUAAUUGACUUCAUUCUGUCAAUGUGAAUAGAGAUCCUGGAAUUCCUUAAUACAAUGCAUCAUAAUAUUUUGCAUCAUAACUACCCAUAAUUUUUCUUAUUUGCCCAAGCACAGCUUCAUACAUAUAGAUGCCUUUUUUUAAUCAGUAUCUUUUUAACCAUCCAACAGUGGACUAUUUGAUCUGCUCUGGAAAUCAGAAUCACAUCCCUGUGACAGGCAUUCAGCAGCCUGUGUUACAGUCCUGCUUUGUAUUAUAUAAGGAACUCUACAAGAUAUAUCACAGCAGGUCCAGCAAAAAAAGGAUAGGUAACAGUCUCUGCCAAGUGUGGUCUCUGGAAAUUAAGCUCAACCGGUGACAAGUAUCAUGGCAAAGAAUUUCUGGAACCAAUGUAAAAAUGUAAGGAGUUUGUUCAGAAAAGUUUUAUACUGUCAUGCACUACCAGCACAAAGAUACAAGAAAACCACAGAAACCAUCAUUUAACAUAAGGAUUGUAACAAAUUUUGUACAUUAUUAAAUUGCUCAAAAUCAACAGCUUUUCCAUAUUGAUUUUCAAGUGUGGCACCACAGGAAGGAUAUAAACCCUUCUUAUAGCCCAGAAAAAACUGAGCUACAUCUGUUCUUUGACAUUACAGGUGAUAAAGCUUCACUUUGAUGGCUCAGCUGAGAUCAGAGAAUAUCCUAGGUACCACAUAGGCACACACUAAGAUACAACAUCUGCCCUGCAGAGCUUUCAUUUUAGGUACUGCAAGACACAGUGAAAAAAAAAAAAUUAUUCAUAUUCCUGUACUAUAAGUCAGAAAGCUGAACUUCAGGCUUUAAGUACAAGAUUGUCCUGUUGUUUGCAUUAUCAUUAUAAACAAGGAUUAUGGUCAGUAUUACUGUGACCAAAUAAGAAAAUCUGAGGCAGCUUCAGUGAAGAUUAUAUUGUGGCAUACAAACCAUUUAAAACAUUCAUGCCUAGCCCACAGGCAUGGAGAAAGAAAAUACUGAUGUUACUGCUGUCUAACUUUAGGGUGCUGAUCACAAACCCUGUGCCCUUGCUGCUGAUGUCGUAAACAUGCAGACGUUUACACACACCAAAAGAUGGUUUUUGCUCUGGAAAGCAAUGGGUCCUGUGAGGGCACAGCUUCAAGAUCCAUGUGUCAGUAAACACAGCAGCACCAGGCUGUCACUCUCAGCAUUCAAUCUGCAGGUGAAAAUGCAAUAUAACAGAAAAGGCCACUCAGCAGGACAAGUCAAGCAGGCACUCUGAAGGAAAGGAACAGCAAAUCCCACUCACCCAGGCUGCCCUGCCACCCUCUUCAAUAGAGUCAGCUAAAGGAUUUGUGCUCUUCUCCACACUUAUCUUCAAGCCUAAAGAAAGAUGUUUUUAGUGACUUAUCCCAGUGAGUGCACCAAGAUCGUACAAGAGCUGAGUGGUAUGCAAACAGAGAACAAAAGGAUACUAUUGAAACUAAAGAGCUCAGAAGUUGCUUCUACAUUAAUGAUUGUCAAUGUCUGUUUUUCUUCUCUGCAUACUCCAAGCAGGAUCCCAAAUCCACCCUGUUAAACACUAGGCCUUAAUCACUAACUACCAAGAACAAGUUACAGACAGAAGUAUCUGUUCUAAAUAUUGGCUGGAAAUAUCUCAAUAGAUAUCUAAAAUAUCUAAAUAUUUUCCUCUUGGAAAGAAUGUCAAUUCUCAGCUGUUUUUACCCAAGGUUUUUCUAUGGAAAAAUAGAAAUUAUCUAAAGAAAUCUGUGUGGGUUGUUCUUUGGUUUUGGGUUGGAUCUGGGGUCUUUUUUGGGGUGGAGGAAGAGGGGGAGCUUCAGGCAAAGACGGGAUUUCAGAGUCCAUAUUUGGAACACUCCAAAUGAAGGCAAAGUUACCUUGACAACUGUAGCCAUCUUUACAUAGUAAUUUUCUUUGAAGACUAUUAGGCUGUUUCAAUUCCUCAUUUUUUUUCUCUGUCUACAAGGAGAUCCUCUCCCACUCCCAGGUAACUGGUCAUACACCAGUUUUACUUCAGUGUAUACCCUGAGUACAGCCUGUUCUCAUUUACUAAAUCUGGAGUUUUAAUAGCUGUUAUUUGACUUUUAAAAGAAUGUCAUAUUAAGAUUUUCAAAUUUAACUGACAGAUAUUCAAUUGCAAAGUCCUA